AUUGAACGCUGGCGGCAGGCCUAACACAUGCAAGUCGAGCGGAUGAAGGGAGCUUGCUCCUGGAUUCAGCGGCGGACGGGUGAGUAAUGCCUAGGAAUCUGCCUGGUAGUGGGGGAUAACGUCCGGAAACGGGCGCUAAUACCGCAUACGUCCUGAGGGAGAAAGUGGGGGAUCUUCGGACAUCACGCUAUCAGAUGAGCCUAGGUCGGAUUAGCUAGUUGGUGGGGUAAAGGCCUACCAAGGCGACGAUCCGUAACUGGUCUGAGAGGAUGAUCAGUCACACUGGAACUGAGACACGGUCCAGACUCCUACGGGAGGCAGCAGUGGGGAAUAUUGGGCAAUGGGCGAAAGCCUGAUCCAGCCAUGCCGCGUGUGUGAAGAAGGUCUUCGGAUUGUAAAACACUUUUAGUUGGGAGGAAGGACAGUAAGUUAAUCCCUUGCUGUUUUGACGUUACCGAAUGAAUAAGCACCGGCUAACUGCGUG
rnacentral:rRNA from 1 species